rnacentral:rRNA from 1 species
ACGGAGGAUCCGAGCGUUAUCCGGAUUUAUUGGGUUUAAGGGGUGCGUAGGCGGACCUGUAAGUCAGUGGUGAAAGUUUGCAGCUCAACUGUAAAAUCGCCAUUGAAACUAUUGGUCUUGAGUGUAAAUGAGGCAGGCGGAAUGUGUUGUGUAGCGGUGAAAUGCUUAGAUAUAACACAGAACACCGAUUGCGAAAGCAGCUUACUAGGAUGCAACUGACGCUGAGGCACGAAAGCUGGGGGAUCGAACGG